rnacentral:rRNA from 1 species
UACGGAGGGUGCAAGCGUUAUCCGGAUUCACUGGGUUUAAAGGGUGCGUAGGUGGGCAAGUAAGUCAGUGGUGAAAUCUCCGGGCUUAACCCGGAAACUGCCAUUGAUACUAUUUGUCUUGAAUACUGUGGAGGUCAGCGGAAUAUGUCAUGUAGCGGUGAAAUGCUUAGAUAUGACAUAGAACACCAAUUGCGAAGGCAGCUGGCUCCACAAAUAUUGACACUGAGGCACGAAAGCGUGGGGAUCAAACAGG